GCCGAAGUGACGGAACUGGCAGACGUGCAUGACUUAGGAUCAUGUGCCUUCGGGCGUGGGGGUUCGAGUCCCUCCUUCGGCACCA
rnacentral:tRNA from 1 species